CACUGUCUGAGCUGAAGAAUCAA
rnacentral:piRNA from 1 species